GGAGGGAUGCAGGAGUGGCUUAACUGACAGUCCUGGAAAGACUGUGUUCGCUUUAUACGAACCGUGGGUUCGAAUCCCACUCCCUCCG
rnacentral:tRNA from 1 species